AGCGAACGCUGGCGGCAGGCUUAACACAUGCAAGUCGAACGCCCCGCAAGGGGAGUGGCAGACGGGUGAGUAACACGCGGGAACGUACCCUUUGGUUCGGAAUAACUUGGGGAAACUCAAGCUAAUACCGGAUAAGCCCUUAUGGGGAAAGGUUUACUGCCGAAGGAUCGGCCCGCGUCUGAUUAGCUAGUUGGUGAGGUAAUGGCUCACCAAGGCGACGAUCAGUAGCUGGUCUGAGAGGAUGAUCAGCCACACUGGGACUGAGACACGGCCCAGACCCCUACGGGAGGCAGCAGUGGGGAAUAUUGGACAAUGGGGGCAACCCUGAUCCAGCCAUGCCGCGUGAGUGUUGAAGGCCUUAGGGUUGUAAAGCUCUUUUACCCGGGACGAUAAUGACUGUACCGGGAGAAUAAGCCCCGGCUAACUUCGUGCCAGCCGCCGCGGUAA
rnacentral:rRNA from 1 species